rnacentral:rRNA from 1 species
CGUAGGGUGCGAGCGUUAAUCGGAAUUACUGGGCGUAAAGCGUGCGCAGGCGGUUGUGCAAGACAGAUGUGAAAUCCCCGGGCUCAACCUGGGAAUGGCAUUUGUGACUGCACGGCUAGAGUGUGUCAGAGGGGGGUAGAAUUCCACGUGUAGCAGUGAAAUGCGUAGAUAUGUGGAGGAAUACCGAUGGCGAAGGCAGCCCCCUGGGAUAACACUGACGCUCAUGCACGAAAGCGUGGGGAGCAAACAGGAUUAGAUACCCUGGUAGUCCACGCCCUAAACGAUGUCAACUAGUUGUCGGGUCUUAAUUGACUUGGUAACGCAGCUAACGCGUGAAGUUGACCGCCUGGGGAGUACGGUCGCAAGAUUA